rnacentral:lncRNA from 1 species
GAAGAUAUGCAUCGUGAGUGCUUUUGAAGUCUAAGCCUGACUUUCACACUACAACAAUAUAAAUGGAACAAACAUACCCAAAGCUAUCUUUAGCUAUCACGAUUGUGAUCUGAUCUCACCACUCCUCCAUCAUCAUAUCCUUCCUCCAGUCUCUGCACGCAAGAUGCCACAUUUUCUCAACCUAAUUGUUAUAUUCAGAAGUUAAACAACUGACUCAAAGCAAAGAUACUCCUCAGUUUAAUGGAAGGAACAAAAAAACACAUUUCUUAAGUAAACUCUCAAGUUACCAUGCUAAGUGUCUCAAACAUUUUGAGUAGAGAUCAAAUGAAUCAAAGAAAUUCAACCCUAUAAGAGCAAAUGAGAACAGAACAAAAAAAGCAAGGAGCAAAAGCACAGAGUAGAACGUAAGAAACCAGCACAAUCAGCUUACACAAGACAUCUCAAUGACUGUGAUUACAAAUGGGACAAGUGGACAAGACACGCUAACAACACAGAGAGAUCUGUACUUGCCUGCACUAAGCAUAUACAAAAACAACUUUGUG